rnacentral:ncRNA from 2 species
AUCGGUGCAGGAGAUGGCAUUCCUCCUGUCCCCACCGGGGCAAACCGCCGCCUUGGCUGAUGAUGCCUGCUGACCC